rnacentral:misc_RNA from 1 species
GGAUUGAAAUGCAGUCAAAUUCUUCUCCGCCUUUUCCUUUGAUUCCACUUGUUCUCUUCAAUGGCGGUCAAUUGAGCGAAGGUGGGUUUGAAUUAUCUAGGUUUUUGUUUUUGGGGUCUUUGCUCUUCUCUCAAGGAGGCGACGACGGUAUGGACUUGUCUAAAGUUGGAGAGAAGAUUUUGAGUUCCGUUCGUUCUGCUAGAUCUCUUGGUCUUCUCCCUUCUUCUUCUGAUCGUCCGGAGGUUCCUGAACGAGCUGCAGCUGCUGCUGCACUUGCACGUGUUCUAGCUGGACUACCUCCUCAUCAGAGAUACACUCUUUCAUCAAGCUCGGAAGAACUGAGCUCAAUAUAUGGGAGCAAACCUCCUGAUCA